GUCGAACGGCAGCACGGGAGCAAUCCUGGUGGCGAGUGGCGAACGGGUGAGUAAUAUAUCGGAACGUGCCCAGUCGUGGGGGAUAACGUAGAGAAAUUUACGCUAAUACCGCAUACGAUCUAAGGAUGAAAGCGGGGGACUUCGCAAGAGGCCUCGCGCGAUUGGAGCGGCUGAUAUCAGAUUAGGUUGUUGGUGAGGUAAAAGCUCACCAAGCCGACGAUCUGUAGCUGGUUUGAGAGAACGACCAGCCACACUGGGACUGAGACACGGCCCAGACUCCUACGGGAGGCAGCAGUGGGGAAUUUUGGACAAUGGGCGAAAGCCUGAUCCAGCAAUGCCGCGUGCAGGAAGAAGGCCUUCGGGUUGUAAACUGCUUUUGUACGGAACGAAAAGGUCUGCCCUAAUACGGCGGGCCCAUGACGGUACCGUAAGAAUAAGCACCGGCUAACUACGUGCCAGCAGCCGCGGUAAUACGUAGGGUGCGAGCGUUAAUCGGAAUUACUGGGCGUAAAGCGUGCGCAGGCGGUGAUGUAAGACAGUUGUGAAAUCCCCGGGCUCAACCUGGGAAUUGCAUCUGUGACUGCAUCGCUAGAGUACGGUAGAGGGGGAUGGAAUUCCGCGUGUAGCAGUGAAAUGCGUAGAUAUGCGGAGGAACACCGAUGGCGAAGGCAAUCCCCUGGACCUGUACUGACGCUCAUGCACGAAAGCGUGGG
rnacentral:rRNA from 1 species